GAUGAACGCUGGCGGCGUGCCUAAUACAUGCAAGUCGAGCGAACAGAUAAGGAGCUUGCUCCUUUGAAGUUAGCGGCGGACGGGUGAGUAACACGUGGGUACCCUACCUAUAAGACUGGGAUAACUUCGGGAAACCGGAGCUAAUACCGGAUAACAUUUAGAACCGCAUGGUUCUAAAGUGAAAGAUGGUUUUGCUAUCACUUAUAGAUGGACCCGGGCCGUAUUAGCUAGUUGGUAAGGUAACGGCUUACCAAGGCGACGAUACGUAGACGACGUGAGAGGGGGGUAGGCCACACUGGAACUGAGACACGGUCCGGAGUCCUGCGGGAGGGCGCAGAAGGGGAUCGGCCGCAAUGGGGGAAAGCCUGACGGAGCAACGCCGCGUGAGUGAUGAAGGGUUUCGGCUCGUAAAAAUCUGUUAUUAGGGAAGAACCAAUGUGUAAGUAACUGUGCACAUCUUGACGGUACCUAAUCAGAAAGCCACGGCUAACUACGUG
rnacentral:rRNA from 1 species